GAUGAACGCUGGCGGCGUGCCUAACACAUGCAAGUCGAGCGAAGCACUUUGCUUAGAUUCUUCGGAUGAAGAGGAUUGUGACUGAGCGGCGGACGGGUGAGUAACGCGCGGGUAACCUGCCUCAUACAGGGGGAUAACAGUUAGAAAUGACUGCUAAUACCGCAUAAGACCACAGCACCGCAUGGUGCGGGGGUAAAAACUCCGGUGGUAUGAGAUGGACCCGCGUCUGAUUAGCUAGUUGGUAAGGUAACGGCUUACCAAGGCGACGAUCAGUAGCCGACCUGAGAGGGUGACCGGCCACAUUGGGACUGAGACACGGCCCAAACUCCUACGGGAGGCAGCAGUGGGGAAUAUUGCACAAUGGGGGAAACCCUGAUGCAGCGACGCCGCGUGAGCGAAGAAGUAUUUCGGUAUGUAAAGCUCUAUCAGCAGGGAAGAAAAUGACGGUACCUGACUAAGAAGCACCGGCUAAAUACGUGCCAGCAGCCGCGGUAAUACGUAUGGUGCAAGCGUUAUCCGGAUUUACUGGGUGUAAAGGGAGCGUAGACGGAUGGGCAAGUCUGAUGUGAAAACCCGGGGCUCAACCCCGGGACUGCAUUGGAAACUGUUCAUCUAGAGUGCUGGAGAGGUAAGUGGAAUUCCUAGUGUAGCGGUGAAAUGCGUAGAUAUUAGGAGGAACACCAGUGGCGAAGGCGGCUUACUGGACAGUAACUGACGUUGAGGCUCGAAAGCGUGGGGAGCAAACAGGAUUAGAUACCCUGGUAGUCCACGCCGUAAACGAUGACUACUA
rnacentral:rRNA from 1 species